rnacentral:rRNA from 1 species
UACGGAGGGUGCAAGCGUUAUCCGGAUUCACUGGGUUUAAAGGGCGCGUAGGUGGGGUGGUAAGUCAGUGGUGAAAUCUCCGGGCUUAACUCGGAAACUGCCGUUGAUACUAUCAUUCUUGAAUAUUGUGGAGGUAAGCGGAAUAUGUCAUGUAGCGGUGAAAUGCUUAGAUAUGACAUAGAACACCAAUUGCGAAGGCAGCUGGCUACACGAGCAUUGACACUCAGGCACGAAAGCGUGGGGAUCAAACAGG